GUACUUGCUACAGUGGCACAAAUACUAAAAACUGGAACGAUACACAGAAGAUUGCCAUGGCCCCUGAAUGAGGAUGACAUGUAAAUUCGUGAAGCAUUCCAUAUUUUU